rnacentral:lncRNA from 1 species
GCAGAUGGUGUGGUGGAGAGAGGACAGGGGAGAAAGUGGGUUGCUGAGCCAGAGGGCAGGAAGGAACGGGCUGGAGGAACAGCUCGCUUCAGAAAAAAAUGUGGGUACUUUCCACCAGAAAGCUGGCAUCUCACCAGGCAGUCCUCAGGUCUGCUGGGAGAGGAUACCGCUGUUUCCAUUCCUGCUGCAGGGUGCUUUGGCUCCCAGGUAUUGCCAGAUCACUUCCAGAGUUAUGGCAAAGAAAUAUUCGUAUAAACUGAUCCUGGCAUUGGAUUCUGAUCUGAAUUUCUUUAUCCUCAGCUCCAGAAUGUAAGCUGUCCUCAUGCUUCUCUUUUUUCCACAGACUGUUAAACUAAGAAGAUGUUGGAUAAUGGAAAAUUUCUAACUUUUUUUUCCAUCAGUUUAAGCAUUGUCACCCCACCUCAAGUCCCUCCUCCCCCAAUAAUCCAGUUAUUAUAUGUAUAUCUAAUCCAUUAAUUCAUUUCAUUUAUAAGAAAAGAUAAAAACACGAAAAGAUUAAAAUGAAUUGAUGUUCUCUGCCACACCCAGCCCAACACAUGCUCAGUCCAAGUUCUGAUACUAAAUCUUACUUCUCCAUUCAUAGAGUCACAUCAUAGAAUCAAAGAAACAGAGAACUGUUAAGGUUGGAAAAGAACUCUGAGACCAUCAAG